UAUGACCUGAGGUGUACGCCAGUCGGUUGUUUUUACCCACAUCAUACCUUACGGCACCCGGGUCAGCGGAUGGAUGCCAGGCCCCCGCGUAAGCGAUGGGGAAGGCAGAGAUUUGUUGCAGGGAGCCGACCUGCUGAACAUAGCGGGUGAAAAAACAGCUGGCAGCGGCACUUUGGGCUUAUC
rnacentral:other from 1 species